UGAGGAAUAUUGGGUCAAUGGGGCGAGAGCCUGAACCAGCCAAGUCGCGUGGGGGAGGAAGGUCCUACGGAUUGUAAACUUCUUUAGGGUGGGAACAAAGGACGCCACGCGUGGCGAGAUGAGUGUACCACCAGAAUAAGCAUCGGCUAACUCCGUGCCAGCAGCCGCGGUAAUACGGAGGAUGCGAGCGUUAUCCGGAUUUAUUGGGUUUAAAGGGUGCGUAGGCGGUUUGUCAAGUCAGCGGUCAAACUGCGGGGCUUAACCUCGUAUUGCCGUUGAAACUGGCUGACUAGCGUGGCGUCGAGGUGUGCGGAAUGCGUUGUGUAGCGGUGAAAUGCAUAGAUAUGACGCAGAACUCCGAUUGCGAAGGCAGCACACCGGGCGCCUACGGACGCUGAGGCACGAAAGCGUGGGUAUCGAACAGGAUUAGAUACCCUGGUAGU
rnacentral:rRNA from 1 species